CCCUCAAUAGCUCAGUUGGCAGAGCGGAUGACUGUAGAUGUUACAACGGUGAUCCUUAGGUAGCUGGUUCAAAUCCGGCUCGAGGGA
rnacentral:tRNA from 1 species